rnacentral:rRNA from 1 species
UGGGGAAUUUUGGACAAUGGGGGCAACCCUGAUCCAGCCAUGCCGCGUGUGUGAAGAAGGCCUUCGGGUUGUAAAGCACUUUCGGACGGAACGAAAUCGCGCGGGUGAACAUCCCGCGUGGAUGACGGUACCGUAAGAAGAAGCACCGGCUAACUACGUGCCAGCAGCCGCGGUAAUACGUAGGGUGCGAGCGUUAAUCGGAAUUACUGGGCGUAAAGUGUGCGCAGGCGGCCGAGCAAGUCGAGUGUGAAAUCCCCGAGCUUAACUUGGGAAUUGCGCUCGAAACUACUUGGCUNGAGUGUGGCAGAGGAAGGUGGAAUUCCACGUGUAGCGGUGAAAUGCGUAGAGAUGUGGAGGAACACCGAUGGCGAAGGCAGCCUUCUGGGCCAACACUGACGCUCAUGCACGAAAGCGUGGGGAGCAAACAGGAUUAGAUACCCUGGUAGUCCACGCCCUAAACGAUGAUGACUAGUUGUUGGAGGAGUUAAAUCCUUUAGUAACGCAGCUAACGCGUGAAGUCAUCCGCCUGGGGAGUACGGUCGCAAGAUUA